AGCGAACGCUGGCGGCAGGCUUAACACAUGCAAGUCGAGCGGGCAUCCUUGUGGUGUCAGCGGCAGACGGGUGAGUAACGCGUGGGAACGUGCCCUUCGGUUCGGAAUAACUCAGGGAAACUUGAGCUAAUACCGGAUACGUGCGUGAGCAGAAAGGUUUAUCUGCCGAAGGAUCGGCCCGCGUCUGAUUAGCUAGUUGGUGAGGUUACGGCUCACCAAGGCGACGAUCAGUAGCUGGUCUGAGAGGAUGAUCAGCCACACUGGGACUGAGACACGGCCCAGACUCCUACGGGAGGCAGCAGUGGGGAAUAUUAGACAAUGGGGGCAACCCUGGUCCAGCCAUGCCGCGUGAGUGAUGACGGCCUUAGGGUUGUAAAGCUCUUUUCUCCGGGACGAUAAUGACGGUACCGGAGGAAUAAGCCCCGGCUAACUUCGUG
rnacentral:rRNA from 1 species